rnacentral:rRNA from 1 species
AGAGUUUGAUCCUGGCUCACAAUGAACGUUGGCGGCGUGGAUUAGGCAUGCAAGUCGAGCGAGUCCAUCAUGUAGCAAUACAAGGUGAGUCGAGCGGCGUAAGGGGCAGUAAUACCUAGGAACGUACCCUGAGGUCGGGGAUAGCUGCUAGAAAUGGCGAGUAAUACCCGAUGAUCUCGAGAGAGCAAAGGCUUGCCGCCUUCGGAGCGGCCCAGGCGAUAUUAGCUAGUUGGUGAGGUAAUGGCUUACCAAGGCAUAGAUGUCUAGCGGGUGUGAGAGCACGACCCGCGCCACUGGCACUGAGACACUGGCCAGACACCUACGGGUGGCUGCAGUCGAGAAUCUUCGGCAAUGAGCGCAAGCUUGACCGAGCGACGCCGCGUGCGGGAUGAAGGCCUUCGGGUUGUAAACCGCUUUGGUCCGAAAGAAAGGGUAAAACUUGAUCGAUCGGAGAAACAAGGACGGGCUAAGUUCGUGCCAGCAGCCGCGGUAAGACGAACCCGUCCAAACGUUAUUCGGAAUCACUGGCUUAAAGGGCGCGUAGGCGCGCGAGUCGGGUCACGUGAAGUCCUCUGCAGCUUAACUGGAGACUUGCCCUUGAUCACACUCGGCGCUCGAGAAGGAGGGCCACUCGGAACUGUCGUGUGAGCGCGUGGAAUUGCGUGAAUAUCGACAGGAAUCGCCGGUGGCGGAAGGCGGAAUGCUUGUUCCUUUCUGGCCGCUGAAGGCGCGCAAAGCCAGGGGAGCAAACCGGGAAUAAGAUUCCCGGUUAGUCCUCGCUUUACCGAUGAAGAUCUAGGUAGUGGGUUCCGACUGUGCACACCUGCCGGAAGCGAAGUCUUAAGUCUCGCUCUGGGAAGUAUGGUUCGCAAGGGCGUGAAACUUCAAAGGGAAUUUGGACGGUUCACAAAGCGGGUGGAGCAUGGUGGCUUUGAUCUUCGAGGGCUACGCGGAAGAACCUUACCCAGGGCUUGACCUGGUGCGAAAGCCGCCCAAGUGUACCCCUGCGGAAACGCAGGGGAACCCCGCCAAGGGGGGACUUGGUACAGGUGCUGCCAUGGCUGUCGUCAGCUCGUGUCGUGAGAUGUCGGGUUAAGUCCCAUAACGAGCGAAACCCUUGCCCUUAGUUGCUACGCAAGAGCACUCUAGGGGGACUGCCGGUGUCAAACCGGAGGAAGGCGGGGAUGACGUCAAGUCCUCAUGGCCCUUACGCCUGGGGCUGCACACGUGCUACAAUGCGGCAGACAAAGGGACGCCAACUGGCAACAGUGCGCUAAUCCCAAAAAAUGUCGCUCAGUUCAGAUUGUGGGCUGCAACUCGCCCGCAUGAAGCUGGAAUCGCUAGUAAUCGCGGGUCAGCAACACCGCGGCGAAUGUGUUCCUGAGCCUUGUACACACCGCCCGUCAAGCCACGAAAGGAAGGGGCGCCCAAAGCCGCGUCAGCGUCAAAGGCGAAACUUGUGAUUGGGACUAAGUCGUAACAAGGUAACC